AGCGAACGCUGGCGGCAGGCUUAACACAUGCAAGUCGAACGCCCCGCAAGGGGAGUGGCAGACGGGUGAGUAACACGUGGGAACGUGCCCUUUGGUUCGGAAUAACUUGGGGAAACUCAAGCUAAUACCGGAUAAGCCCUUAUGGGGAAAGGUUCACUGCCGAAGGAUCGGCCCGCGUCUGAUUAGCUAGUUGGUGAGGUAAUGGCUCACCAAGGCGACGAUCAGUAGCUGGUCUGAGAGGAUGAUCAGCCACACUGGGACUGAGACACGGCCCAGACUCCUACGGGAGGCAGCAGUGGGGAAUAUUGGACAAUGGGGGCAACCCUGAUCCAGCCAUGCCGCGUGAGUGAUGAAGGCCUUAGGGUUGUAAAGCUCUUUUACCCGGGACGAUAAUGACUGUACCGGGAGAAUAAGCCCCGGCUAACUUCGUGCCAGCCGCCGCCGUAA
rnacentral:rRNA from 1 species